rnacentral:rRNA from 1 species
UUCCGGUUGAUCCCGCCGGAGGUUACUGCUAUCGGUGUUCGCCUAAGCCAUGCGAGUCAUAUGUAGCAAUACAUGGCGUACUGCUCAGUAACACGUGGAUAACCUGCCCUUGGGUCCGGCAUAACCCCGGGAAACUGGGGAUAAUUCCGGAUAACGCACAUAUGCUGGAAUGCUUUAUGCGUCAAAUGGAUUCGUCUGCCCAAGGAUGGGUCUGCGGCCUAUCAGGUAGUAGUGGGUGUAAUGUACCUACUAGCCGACAACGGGUACGGGUUGUGAGAGCAAGAGCCCGGAGAUGGAUUCUGAGACAUGAAUCCAGGCCCUACGGGGCGCAGCAGGCGCGAAAACUUUACAAUGCGGGAAACCGUGAUAAGGGGACACCGAGUGUCAGCAUCAUAUGCUGGCUGUCCAGGUGUGUAAAAUACACCUGUUAGCAAGGGCCGGGCAAGACCGGUGCCAGCCGCCGCGGUAACACCGGCGGCCCGAGUGGUGAUCGUGAUUAUUGGGUCUAAAGGGUCCGUAGCCGGUUUGGUCAGUCCUCCGGGAAAUCUGAUAGCUCAACUAUUAGGCUAUCGGGGGAUACUGCCAGGCUUGGAACCGGGAGAGGUAAGAGGUACUACAGGGGUAGGAGUGAAAUCUUGUAAUCCCUGUGGGACCACCUGUGGCGAAGGCGUCUUACCAGAACGGGUUCGACGGUGAGGGACGAAAGCUGGGGGCACGAACCGGAUUAGAUACCCGGGUAGUCCCAGCCGUAAACGAUGCUCGCUAGGUGUCAGCAUGGCGCGACCGUGUCUGGUGCCGCAGGGAAGCCGUGAAGCGAGCCACCUGGGAAGUACGGCCGCAAGGCUGAACUUAAAGGAAUUGGCGGGGGAGCAC